rnacentral:rRNA from 1 species
CGAGGAAUAUUGGUCAAUGGGCGAGAGCCUGAACCAGCCAAGUCGCGUGAAGGAAGACAGUCCUAAGGAUUGUAAACUUCUUUUAUACGGGAAUAACGGGCGAUACGAGUAUUGCAUUGAAUGUACCGUAAGAAUAAGCAUCGGCUAACUCCGUGCCAGCAGCCGCGGUAAUACGGAGGAUGCGAGCGUUAUCCGGAUUUAUUGGGUUUAAAGGGUGCGUAGGUUGUUCGGUAAGUCAGCGGUGAAACCUGAGCGCUCAACGUUCAGCCUGCCGUUGAAACUGCCGGGCUUGAGUUCAGUGGCGGCAGGCGGAAUUCGUGGUGUAGCGGUGAAAUGCAUAGAUAUCACGAGGAACUCCGAUUGCGAAGGCAGCUUGCCAUACUGCGACUGACACUGAAGCACGAAGGCGUGGGUAUCAAACAGG